rnacentral:rRNA from 1 species
CAGCAGCCGCGGUAAUACGGGGGGUGCAAGCGUUACUCGGAAUCACUGGGCGUAAAGAGCAUGUAGGCGGAUUAAUAAGUUUGAAGUGAAAUCCUAUAGCUUAACUAUAGAACUGCUUUGAAAACUGUUAAUCUAGAAUGUGGGAGAGGUAGAUGGAAUUUCUGGUGUAGGGGUAAAAUCCGUAGAGAUCAGAAGGAAUACCGAUUGCGAAGGCGAUCUACUGGAACAUUAUUGACGCUGAGAUGCGAAAGCGUGGGGAGCAAACAGGAUUAGAUACCCUGGUAGUCCACGCCCUAAACGAUGUACACUAGUUGUUGUGAGACUUGAUCUUGCAGUAAUGCAGUUAACACAUUAAGUGUACCGCCUGGGGAGUACGGUCGCAAGAUUAAAACUCAAAGGAAUAGACGGGGACCCGCACAAGCGGUGGAGCAUGUGGUUUAAUUCGACGAUACACGAAGAACCUUACCUGGACUUGACAUAGUAAGAACUUUCUAGAGAUAGAUUGGUGUCUGCUUGCAGAAACUUAUAUACAGGUGCUGCACGGCUGUCGUCAGCUCGUGUCGUGAGAUGUUGGGUUAAGUCCCGCAACGAGCGCAACCCUCGUGUUUAGUUGCUAACAGUUCGGCUGAGAACUCUAAACAGACUGCCUACGCAAGUAGGAGGAAGGUGAGGACGACGUCAAGUCAUCAUGGCCCUUACGUCCAGGGCUACACACGUGCUACAAUGGGAUAUACAAAGAGCGGCAAUACGGUGACGUGGAGCAAAUCUUAUAAAAUAUCUCCCAGUUCGGAUUGUAGUCUGCAACUCGACUACAUGAAGUUGGAAUCGCUAGUAAUCGUAGAUCAGCUAUGCUACGGUGAAUACGUUCCCGGGUCUUGUACUCACCGCCCGUCACACCAUGGGAGUCGAACUCAUUCGAAGCGGGGAUGCUAAAAUAGCUACCUUCCACAGUGGAUUUGGCGACUGGGGUGAAGUCGUAACAAGGUAGCCGU